AUACAAUGAUGACUGCAUAGUUCAGCAGAUUAUCCCAUGAAGACCUCAUAUCGACCUUUCACCCCUAGCUGACGUAUCA